CAAGCAUCCGGACCUUCCAGCAGGGCAGUCCCUGCAGACACUCAGAACCCUCAACGUUUCAAGUGAGACUGGGCUCUGAGAAAAGCCUGCGCGGUGUAUCCCUUCCUCACCUAUUUUCCUGAGGCUUAAGCAAAUGCUUUUGAAAGUUAUUUCUAAAUAUUUCUAAGCUUGUGACUAUGAAGAUCACAAAUUGAUUUUGAAAAUAUUGUCACUCAAAGAAAAGAGGAAUAGAGGAGUAACACACGCCUUUUUUAGGAAAUAAACAUUGGCUCCUGGGUCUGAAAGGCUCCCAGGAGACGCUGAUGCCGCUGGUCUGUGACCACACUUGGAGGAGCAAAGAUUACUCUGUGCCAGUGGUGCCCCGGAAUCCGUGAUGACUCUUAGCAGCACUGGAGUGGGAUGACCAGAUGUUGCGGGCCUCCCAACACAGACGACAGGAAAUAUGGCAGGUAGAGAAGAAGUUCAAUGACCAAAUAAGGAAAUUAAUGGACGAAUCCAGAAUGUGGGAAAUUCCACAUAACUACUGAUCUAGUUUCCACAACAGUGACAAGAAGAGUGUUCUACUCUGUAUUUAAAGACUCAAGAGACAUAAAUAAAUGCGACGUGUGAUACAUUUAUAGAGUGUUACAGACUGUUUGUGUCGACCCCAAAAUUCAUACGCUGAAGCCCUUGAUCUCCAACGUGAUGGCGUUCAGAGGUGGGGUCAUAGGGAGAUACUUAGGUUUAGAUAAGGAUGUGAGGGUGGGGCCCCCAUGAUGGGAUUAGUGCCCUUAUAAGAGGAAGAGCCCAGAGCCCUCUGCCGUGAGAGCACACAGCAAGAAGGCAGGCGGCUGUCUGCAAGCCAGCAAGAGGGCCUUACUAGACACUGAAUCUGUCGGCACCUUGAUCUUGGCCACCCCAGGCUGCAG
rnacentral:lncRNA from 1 species